CAGUAGCCGCGGUAAUACGAGGGGGGCAAGCGUUGUUCGGAAUUAUUGGGCGUAAAGGGUGCGUAGGCGGCUUGACAAGUCUUGUGUGAAAUCUAUGGGCUCAACCCAUAGUCUGCACGGGAAACUGUCGGGCUUGAGAAUGGGAGAGGUGAGUGGAAUUUCCGGUGUAGCGGUGAAAUGCGUAGAUAUCGGAAGGAACACCUGUGGCGAAAGCGGCUCACUGGACCAUUUCUGACGCUGAUGCACGAAAGCUAGGGGAGCAAACAGGAUUAGAUACCCCUGUAGUCCCUGUCUCUUAUAC
rnacentral:rRNA from 1 species